rnacentral:ncRNA from 1 species
UUUCCCUCAGGAUAGCUGGCGCUCUCGCUCCCGACGUACGCAGUUUUAUCCGGUAAAGCGAAUGAUUAGAGGUCUUGGGGCCGAAACGAUCUCAACCUAUUCUCAAACUUUAAAUGGGUAAGAAGCCCGGCUCGCUGGCGUGGAGCCGGGCGUGGAAUGCGAGUGCCUAGUGGGCCACUUUUGGUAAGCAGAACUGGCGCUGCGGGAUGAACUG